rnacentral:rRNA from 1 species
CUACGUAGCUCAGAGUUUGAUCCUGGCUCAGGACGAACGCUGGCGGCGUGCCUAACACAUGCAAGUCAACGGGGUUAAUGCUUCGGUGUUAACUUAGUGGCGAACGGGUGAGUAACGCGUGAGGAACCUGCCUUUCAGUGGGGGACAACAGUUGGAAACGACUGCUAAUACCGCAUAAUGUUAUCGGGUCGCAUGGCCUGAUAACCAAAGAUUUAUUGCUGAAAGAUGGCCUCGCGUCUGAUUAGAUAGUUGGUGGGGUAACGGCCUACCAAGUCGACGAUCAGUAGCCAGACUGAGAGGUUGAACGGCCACAUUGGGACUGAGAUACGGCCCAG